UAGCCUUAGUAGAGGGUUAUUUACUAAGGUUAUUAACUAAGGUUAUUAGCCUUAGUAGAGGGUUAUUAACUAAGGUUAUUAGCCUUAGUAGAGGGUUAUUAACUGACUGGUGGGGGUGUGGCGGUACCUUGACGGUGCUGUCUACGGCUCCAGAGAACAGGCGCCCCCUGCUGACGGCCAGGGCAGUUACACUCCCCUGGUGUCUGAGGAGGGUCUGGGUACAGAUCAUGUUGUCCAUGCUCCACACCUGUUAACACACACAGGCAGCGUUACUGUAAACACACACACACACACACACAGUU
rnacentral:lncRNA from 1 species